UACGUAGGUGGCAAGCGUUGUUCGGAAUUAUUGGGCGUAAAGGGCGCGUAGGCGGUUGGUUAAGUCAGCUGUGAAAGCCCGGGGCUCAACCCCGGAGGGUCGGCUGAUACUGAUUGACUAGAGUACGGAAGAGGUAGCUGGAAUUCCCGGUGUAGCGGUGAAAUGCGUAGAUAUCGGGAGGAAGGCCGGUGGCGAAGGCGGCGCUCUGGAACGGCCCUGACACUGAGGCUCGAAAGCGUGGGGAGCAAACAGG
rnacentral:rRNA from 1 species